rnacentral:rRNA from 1 species
UACAGAGGUCUCAAGCGUUGUUCGGAUUCAUUGGGCGUAAAGGGUGCGUAGGCGGCGCGGUAAGUCGGAUGUGAAAUCUCGGAGCUUAACUUCGAAACUGCAUUCGAUACUGCCGUGCUUGAGGACUGGAGAGGGGACUGGAAUUUACGGUGUAGCGGUGAAAUGCGUAGAUAUCGUAAGGAAGACCAGUGGCGAAGGCGGGUCUCUGGACAGUUCCUGACGCUGAGGCACGAAGGCCAGGGGAGCAAACGGG